rnacentral:rRNA from 1 species
GCUAAAAACUUAGCCUUANCCCUACAAUUAUAUUUACCCUAUUUUACUUACACAAAAUAAAACAUUCUUUAAGCUUAGUAAAGGAGAUAAAAAAGUUUUUUAGAGCUAUAAAAUAAGUACCGCAAGGGAAAAAUGAAAUAAAAAUGAAACAAAAUUCAAGCAUAAUAUAGUAGAGUUUUCCCCUCGUACCUUUUGCAUCAUGAUUCAACUAGUUUAACCACGCAAAAAGAAUUUAAGUUUGACUUCCCGAAACUAAGUGAGCUACUUCAGGGCAGCUAAAUGAGCCAACCCGUCUCUGUUGCAAAAGAGUGGGAUGACCCUUAAGUAGAGGUGAUAAACCUAACGAACUUAGUGAUAGCUGGUUAUUCAGAAAAAGAAUUUUAGUUCAACUUAAAAUUACAUAAAUAAAAUAAAAUAAAAUUUUAAUUUUAAAGCAAUUCAAAUAAGGUACAGCCUAUUUGAAAUAGAAUACAAUCUAAACUAUAGGGUAAAUAUAAAAAAUUAAUGUAAUAAAGUAGGCCUAAAAGCAGCCAACUUUAAAAUAGCGUCAAAGCUUACUUCCAUAAUUUUUUAAUACUAUUAUUUACAAUGAACCCUUUAUUUUUACUGAAUAUUUCUAUAAAGUUAUAGAACCUUUUAUGUUGAAACUAGUAACAAGAAGUUAAACUUCUCCUCAAUAUAAGUAUAAGUCGACUAGGAUAAACCAUCGACAAUUAACGCUUAAAUUAAAUGUAUUAACUCCACAAGAAAAACUUACAUUACCCCACGUUAAUCUUACACGAGAACAUUUAAGGAAAGAUUNAAAAAA